rnacentral:rRNA from 1 species
UACAGAGGUCUCAAGCGUUGUUCGGAUUCAUUGGGCGUAAAGGGUGCGUAGGCGGCGUGGUAAGUCGGGUGUGAAAUCUCGGAGCUUAACUCCGAAACUGCAUUCGAUACUGCCGUGCUUGAGGACUGGAGAGGAGACUGGAAUUUACGGUGUAGCAGUGAAAUGCGUAGAUAUCGUAAGGAAGACCAGUGGCGAAGGCGGGUCUCUGGACGGUUCCUGACA